rnacentral:rRNA from 1 species
UACGUAGGGGGCGAGCGUUAUCCGGAUUCAUUGGGCGUAAAGCGCGCGUAGGCGGCCUGUUAGGUCGGGAGUUAAAUCCGGGGGCUCAACCCCCGCCCGCUCCCGAUACCGGCAGGCUUGAGUCUGGUAGGGGAAGGCGGAAUUCCCAGUGUAGCGGUGGAAUGCGCAGAUAUUGGGAAGAACACCGGUGGCGAAGGCGGCCUUCUGGGCCACGACUGACGCUGAGGCGCGAAAGCUAGGGGAGCGAACAGG